GCAAGAUAUGUUACAUCAGUUUGGAGAUAUCCUUAUCUCCUUCAAGAAGACCCCUGUAAUAUUUACUGCGCUGUGAUGUGUGUGCCUCCUUCCUCCUUUAUCUCCUCUUCCUCCUAAGACUCCUGCAAGCACCUGGCUUAAUUUUACUACAGUUGGAUCAGUCUUGCAGAAAUUCACUUCCUUAUUGAUGUGGAAAAUCUGAGUCAGCAGUGCUGGAAAACUCAAAUGUGAUGUGAGAACUGUGCUGGAAAACAUUAUAGUGGAGACAUAGUGAAGAGAGUGCAGCUCACAGUGAUAAGCACCCCUCUUCUGCAAAAUUAUCCUGGAUUACACAGUGAAGACUCUUGCAGUUUGCCCAGCAAGUGGAGAUAGAUGCUUUCCUCUGCACAGCUUUGGGAUGGCAUACCUCCUUAGUGCUGCCCCAGCUCCUGAGCAGUACCACUCUGGGCUUCAUGGUGGAUGGAGUGGGAAGAGCUAACAGAGCAAUGGCUGUAUUCCUUGCUCUACUGCUUUUCCUUAAAGCGCAGAUGCAGCUCAUUAUCACUGAAUUAGCAUGAUCAGAGGUUUGGACUUGGCUGAUGUUGAGGGAAACUUACUUGUGUGUCUGGAGGUGAGAACGUUUACCCAAAUUCAAUUCCUACGGAGUGCAACUGCUGAGUCUGGAAACACUCUGUGAACUUCAGUUCCAUGAAUUGCAGGAAAUCUUGGAUAAAAGCUUGUUAACGGGAGUGUUUCCAACUUUUCAUGGGAACGAAUGCUUUCAGAAGUGUAUUAGAAAGUUAGCAGAGUUGAAAUGGAACAAUUUAAUUGGAAAAACAGCAAAGGCUGCUAAAGCUUGAAGUUUUGAUGAUCACAUUCUAGUAAAUCCUCCACCCUUCUGUGUUUCUGUUUUCCCCAAUGGUAACAGUAGAGUUUUGCACUUCUAUUUCCCUUGAAACUUCAAAACUGAUUGAGUACAUGUGACAUUCAUAUGCUUUUGUGUAACAGUCAAAAGGAGCAAUAUCUUAGGGCUGAGAACAAGACCUUGCAAGCUCAGUCAUCAACACCAAGAAGCUGACCUGGAGAAGAUUUUUCUCAGCUGGGAGAAGAUCCUGAAGACCUGAUAGCUUCUUCAUCCUUAAGGGUCAAGGGGCUGAGUGGAACAGGACAAAGGGUCCAUGGAGAGAUCAAGCUGUCUAUAGACACAGGGCUUUGAACAAGCAAAAACUCCAAAAAUACAAAACCCUCAAACUCUGAAAAGCUGGAAAUCAGAUGGUUUCUAACCAGUUGUUCUUUGUUUUGUUUUGUUUUCUAGUCAUGACUGUUUAAGCAAGUGCAAACUGAGAAAAUGAAAGAUAAGUAAAAAUUAAUUUGUUGGCAAACUGCUGUGAAUUUCCAUCUUUGGCUAUAGUACAGUUAUUUCACCUGGAAAAUUAUAACGGCUGUAAUUAUUUUGGAAAUGUGUUUGGCAGAGAAACUUGGAAUGGAAGCACAAUAAAGUUAAUAUUCUUUUUUAUAUAAAGUGAAUGAAUUUAUAUGCUGAAGUUGUAAAUAUAGCCUUAUUGUACCUGCUAUGUGCAACUCAGUGAUGUCAUCUAGGAUAAAUUUAGGAAAAUGUUUAGGAUCUUCUUUGGAAACAGGGAGCUAAAAAAUGUGCACUACUGCUAAAAAUAGACACACAGCAAGAUAAAAGUUUAACCUUGCAGCCCGAUGAGAUUUCCUUGACAUCACAUAGUAAAUGCAAGGGCUGGAGUAAUUGACUGGAUUUGGGAGGGAGAAACAUUACAAACUUCUGCUGACGAAGAAGUGGCAAGACAUUUCAGAAACAACAAGAGAAACCCUGAUUAAACAUAAAGAAAAACUCAAAAUUCAUUGUAAUUGAAAUGCUGGGCUAGCUGAAUAGGAUCAAGCAGAAAUGAAUGACAUAUAGUAUCUUAAAACUAAUAUAGAGAUGAUUUCUAUAUAUUCUAUGAGUCAGAAUUUGUAAUUAUGUUGGGAGUGUAACAGGAAAACUUUGCUACUAAAGAAUACAUCCUAUGGUAAAUAUUGAACUCUAUUUCAGGCAACCCAGUCCUCAUAUUUACAUUAGGCUUUCCACAUCUGUUUCAUAUCCAAUUUAUGUCAACAGUAUUUGAAAUCUCUUACCAUCUGGGUUUUGGGUGGGCUGCACUGAAUGAGUUACCAAGAAAAAAGUAACUUCUAGCACGAAUUAAACAUCAUUCAAAGUCCUCUGGUGCCUUCUGUGAGCUGAAUGGAGAAGCUGUAGAGCCUUGACUUGUACGGAAUUGGAAAUUAAGGAAUGAACUUUUACAGAAGUAAGGAAAAAUGUUACCUUCAGUCUGGAGAAUGAUGGAUUAAGAUAUAGGACCUUCUAUACAGUGAUAUUUGCUUAUUAUACAGAAAUUUUGAAUAAGCACCCACAGGUCCACAAGUCUUUUACUUUGCAAAAUCUAUUUCUUUUGGUCUGUAUCUAAUGCAAACUGUACUUGAACCAUAACAUUUCUAAAUUUACAAGAAAGAAAUUACUAGAAAAAUAAAAGA